GACAAUAAAUAACAAUGCUCUGGCUCUUCGAGUCGGGCAAUUGGAAUGAGAACAAUUUAAAUCCCUUAUCGAGGAUCAAUUGGAGGGCAAGUCUGGUGCCAGCAGCCGCGGUAAUUCCAGCUCCAAUAGCGUAUAUUAAAGUUGUUGCAGUUAAAAAGCUCGUAGUUGGAUUUCUGCUUUGAGCGUCCGGUCCGCUCCUUUGGAGUGUGUUACUAGGAUGGUUGAGGCAUUUUUUGUGAGGACGCCCUUCUGCCAUUCAGUUGGUGGUUGGAUGGACUUGCAUCGUUUACUGUGAAAAAAUUAGAGUGUUUAAAGCAGGCGUUUGCUCAUUGAAUACAUUAGCAUGGAAUAAUAAGAUACGACCUUGGUGGUCUAUUUUGUUGGUUUGCACACCAGGGUAAUGAUUAAUAGGGACAGUUGGGGGUAUUCAUAUUGCAGCGUCAGAGGUGAAAUUCUUGGAUCGCUGCAAGAUGAGCUUAGGCGAAAGCAUUUACCAAGGAUGUUUUCAUUAAUCAAGAACGAAAGUUAAGGGAUCGAAGAUGAUUAGAUACCAUCGUAGUCUUAACCAUAAACUAUGCCGACUCGGGGAUUGGCAGUCGUUUUUUUUAA
rnacentral:rRNA from 1 species